rnacentral:misc_RNA from 1 species
GAAAAAAAAAAAAAAAAGCUAAAAAUGAAUAAACAUGGACUAUUGUUUACUGGAGCAGUGUCAUCAUGUUUAAUUGAUGAGUAAUUAUUAAUUUAACCUAUAAAAGAUAUUCUGUAGUUGUGCCAAGCCUGUAGUGUUGUUAAGUUGGUAAAGGGAAGUAUCUGGUUGUAUAAUUUGUUUAGUUUUGACAUGUUCGUUUAUCGUGAGAAAAUUUUUAUUUUUAAUGUUUUUAGAUAAUUUUAAAAAGUUUGAGAAUGCCUUUGUGGAACAUUUGAUCAUGGCUCAGGGCAUUGCCUUAGCAAAACUUCAUAUAUUGUGCUUCAAUAUUGAUUAUUUUUUUCCCCUUCUAUUUGGCAGAGCUAAUGCCCAACAACCAAAACUCUUUGUUGGAAUGAUUCUGAUCCUCAUUUUUGCUGAAGCAUUG